UUGAACGCUGGCGGAAUGCUUUACACAUGCAAGUCGAGCGGCAGCGCGGGGGCAACCCUGGCGGCGAGCGGCGAACGGGUGAGUAACAUAUCGGAACGUACCCUAUCGUGGGGGAUAACACAUCGAAAGAUGUGCUAAUACCGCAUACGACCUGAGGGUGAAAGCGGGGGAUCGCAAGACCUCGCGCGAUUGGAGUGGCCGAUGUCAGAUUAGCUAGUUGGUGGGGUAAAGGCCUACCAAGGCGACGAUCUGUAGCGGGUCUGAGAGGAUGAUCCGCCACACUGGGACUGAGACACGGCCCAGACUCCUACGGGAGGCAGCAGUGGGGAAUUUUGGACAAUGGGCGAAAGCCUGAUCCAGCCAUGCCGCGUGCGGGAAGAAGGCCUUCGGGUUGUAAACCGCUUUCAGCCGGAAAGAAAUCGCCACUUCUAAUACGAGUGGUGGAUGACGGUACCGGAAGAAGAAGCACCGGCUAACUACGU
rnacentral:rRNA from 1 species